CGGGUCGCUUGAACUUAAAUCAAUAGAGAGACGCUAAACAUGUAGACCUCAAGGCUGAGUACUGGCGGACGCGGGUUCAAUUCCCGCCGUCUCCACCA
rnacentral:tmRNA from 1 species